AGGGAGAGCUGCUGAAAGCAUUUCAUCAUCCCCCAGUCACCUGACUCACUGCAUAUCAACCUUUGUAUUGGUCUGCAGUUGUUUGUUGAGUUCCAUUGCAUCACAAAUAUGAACCUUCACAACACAUUCUACAACCAGCUGGACCAACACACACUGCAACAGCAUACAGGCAGAAGGCCUCAGCGACAUGAGAGACAGGCGCUGCAGGAGGAUUUAUAAGCUGUAGGAACAGCAUGAUGUACACAAGAAGCACUCUGGCUCUUCAUACCCUCCCAUUGUACCUGCAAGGGGAUCUUCAAGAUCUUCAAGUAUUGGGACAAUAAGCCAAACUUUGAAGACACCCCUGUAGCUCUCCUCUAUGUGGUCACUGACAGCUCCACUGGUACCAUCCAGUUCAACCCUGACAGCAUUUCUGAUGUGAUUGAAGCAGACCUUGAUGUGACAGGUCUCCCCAGGUUGGAUGAUGCACAUUUUCAUAAUGUUGGUUUUUAUCUGAAGGUAAUCAUUUUAUAAGGUUCCUUAUCUACCUCAGCACAUGAUACGUGUGAUUCAUUAUGUUAAAUAAUUGGAUCUUUAUUUGCUUUUGAUUCCACAAAAGUUAUUUUCUCAUAUUUUGUUUAAAUUUAUUGGUUAUUUCUAAUAAUGUCCUUAAUUUGCACCUUAUAGCACAGUUUAAGGUUCUUUAAAUCCUGUGUAAAAUAAACACUGUC